ensembl:antisense Gm19461 predicted gene, 19461
UGAAGUGGCUGUAAGCAAGAGGGACAAUUACCACACCCAUCUCUCCCCUUCGAUUCCACCUUUGUGAUAACAAAAUUACCACAGGGCUGGAGGAGUUGGUCCCCUAAACAGGACCGUCUCAAACCCAGCUUCACUACUGAGAAGCUGGCCCUACGCCUUCCUCAAGAGGAAACACCUGAACCCCUAUCCACGGCAUGCAGGGCACACGCUAGCAAACGGUCGGAACACUACCUAGUUGACGGCUGUGAGCAGGCACAGCGGGCUGGAACCCAGAAGAGAGCUCCUGUCCAGAGGAGGGGGUCCUCAUGCGGCCAGAAGGAGAAGCAGAGACAAGCCAACCGACACCAGAGGAAGAGACAGACCAGACAGUGAGGAGCACAGGACAGGAAACUCAGAAACUCCCAAGACUGAGCUGGGGCUGGGACUCUGCCACACUCCAGGACCACGGACUCCCUUUAAGAGGACACAGAGCCCUCAGCAUCAAAGGUCAUGGUCAUCUCCAGCAGACCCCCUUACUGCCACCAAGCCCUAAAUUCAAACAGGAUGAGCAACCAACUCUGCUUGCUGUGAUUUCACAAGGCUCCUGGUUCACAGAGGAAAUCCCUACCUGACCCGUCGAUCAGCCCGAAACUUCAACAUCUUUUUUGGAAGCUCAGUCCCCAGUUCGGCAGCCUCCGAGGAGCCACCAGCCACCCUGCUGCUACCAUCCCUCUGAGAAGUAAGUCCUUGGAUCCAGUUCUCAAUGCUGUGGCAGAGACGCAGGGUGAGCUGGGGCAGACUCCAUGGGUUGCCCUUUCUUCCUGGCUCUAGCACUGGAGAACAGGGACAGGGUUCUCUCUGGGCAAUGGGAGGGAUAGCCCAGGUGCCCUAGGGGGCCUGUGGCUUUAACUUCCUAGCAUUUGCCUGUAAUGCUACAGUUAGAGGUCUGGAGGCAGAAUAAAUGAAGAGAGGACCUCCUCCCAGUUCAGGUUCACAGAAAGACAGAAAUGCAGAAAUGGAGAGAGGCUUGCACAGAGCAGGUGUAUUGCUUCCAGGUAGUCCGACCUCACUGAGCUAAGGACACAGAGCAGCUGGGCGAGCGGAGGAACAAGGGCUGCAUUCCCAUCUGCACGGAGACUCGUGCCAGCCCGACCUGCAGGGAGAAAGUGCUCCGGCCUCUCCAGCUUCCAGCCCAGACACAGGCUCUGGAGCUGCAAACCUACUUGCUUCUCAGAGACCUUCCAAGCCCUUCUGAGGGUUAAAGGAAGCUUCAGGUUCAUUGGCUGAUACUGUUGCUGUGAAGCUGAAGAGAAUUGAAGAAGUCUCCGUUCUCCUCUCUCAGCCUACCCAGCUCUCAUCUAUACAGACCGGAGCAUAAUAAAAAAAAAAAAAAAAAAAACCAAAGCGGCUCUGCAAUCAGCCGGACCCACUCGCCUCUCCAGCAGCAUGGCUCGCUUGCCCUCCAAACGUGCUGGUCCAGCUGAUCAGAAGCUGGACACACACAGCCCAAGUGGAUGGCCGGGAUGUUAGUGGAGUCCCAGAUGAAAUGGAAGAAAGCCUUCCUCUCAAGCUGGAUGAAGAGCCUCAUAGUUCAGUGGAAGAUUCUGGUUUCACAAGGCUCCAAGAACACAGCAACAACAAACACUUUCAUUGUUAACAUCUGCCAGCUGCAGGUCUGGAGACAAUGCAGGAUGUGGGGUGGGGGGUUCCCAGUGGGGGUGAUGAGUGCCUGUGUGUAGGGUAAGUUAGGAUAGUCACCUACUAACUGCCCACAGCCUAAGUCUUUAGGGCUGUGCUAGAUCCUCACCUCCUACAUAGGGCUGAACCAAGUGUUGGGUGGAGAAGUGGGACAGGACCCGCUUCCACUGGCAGGUCUGGUUGGUCACAAAGCUGAGACUUUGCCUAGGGAAAGAUUACACAGCCAUAAAUCUCCUGGAGCCGGCAGGCAGGAGCCUAGACAGCUGCUGGGGGGGGGGUUGGGGGUUGGCGCUCCUACCUGGUGGUACACGAGGACCAGAUGCCAAGGCAGAAAUGAUAGAGAAGCUGGCACUGUCCCUCACCUGCUAUGAAGCCCGUUCUGUGAGACUUCUCCAAGGAGCUUCAGUCUGAGACUGAGACUGAGAGAGACAGGGCAAGGGGGCAUACAGACAGGAGGUAGGAAGUUUUAACUGCCCCUUUCUGCAAGGAGAGAGGAGUUUGGAGCUUCUUCUGCCUCUCAGGAGCUUGCCAAGGGCUAAGCUGUCUCUCUGUCUUCCUGAUGUGAGGAGGCUCCAGUACGAGCUGAAACAAGAGUCAAGCCUGGAACCUGCCAGAAUGCCUGUGUUCAGGAGGGCUGCUGUGUGCUGCACACAUCUCAGGAGCACCCUCGUGGUCCAUGAGAUCUGGAAAGGACUUGGAGAGUAUGUAGAGGAAACUGUUGCACCACCUUGUGUAGAUUCUCCUUCAAGAAAAGGGUGGAGCCACUGACCUCAGACAGGGGCCUCUGGGACUAACUCACUUUGUGUCUCUGGGUUUCAGUUUUUCAUUCUGUAACACAGAGCAAGACUAGGGCUGCUGGGUAGGGGGACAUUAAAUAAAAUCAUAAAGAGCCA